GGGGGUAUAGCUCAGUGGUUAGAGCACCCGCAUACGUAUCGGAAGGUCGGGGGUUCGGCUCCCUCUGCCUCCA
rnacentral:tRNA from 1 species